ensembl:lncRNA
AUCAGCGUUGGGUUAAUCAACUCUGAGCGUGUUCACGCUUGGUUGGGGGCGUGCCUGUUGACUAUAAAGAGCCAUCAUCAAUGGAUCUCUGAUAACAUGAUCAAUAUGGACCAAAAACGUAGAUCCAGUUACUUUUCACACACGGAAUUGGAAAUAUUAAUGCACGCGUAUGCCGAGCAGAAACACAUUUUCACCCAAAAAAGCAAUACCGCCGCAGCAGCGAGAGCACGAGAGAGAGCUUGGCAGGAAAUAGCCGAACAAGUCAAUGCCAAAUCGAAAAAAAGCAGAGGCCCGGAAGACUGGAGGGGGUCCACCACCUGCAGCCCUCACAGUGGCUGAGGAGAUGGCCCUCAGCCAACAGAGUAUGCGUCCUGUGGCUGAGGGCAUCCCUGGGGGGAGCUCCUCUGAUCCCCCCCCAGGAUAGAAGUGCCUUUAUCAGAGGUUGGUUAUUCAAAAUAAUUAAAUGUGUACACGCAACCCAGCGCGUUGCAAAUUAGAUGGGGCAAUAUUCUGGCUCAAGUAAUAAUUUCACUGUCUCAUCAUCUUCUUCCAGUUACUGAUGGCGUCAUCAACCUACUGGAACCAGAUGCCCUCACCAACCUCCAUGCAAUUGAAGAUGAUGGAGAAACAUUGUCUGCGGCAUUUGAAAGGGAAGAGGAAAGGCCUAUUGAGCAUGAAAUCGAAUUCAAUGAGAGGCCAUCCACUUCUAGCUCUACUUCACAGCUUACCUCUGUAAGAUUCUCCCUGGAAUUAUAAUGAAACGCUGUACUUGGCACUGUGAAAUCCAAUGUCAUCUUUUGCAUUCCUAUAGCUUCCAGUCAAAGAGCUCUAUAAAAUCUAUCUGGGAAAAC